AGGACGAACGCUGGCGGCACGCCUAACACAUGCAAGUCGAACGGAGAUUUGAGAGCUUGCUCUUAAAUCUUAGUGGCGGACGGGUGAGUAACACGUGAGCAACCUGCCUCUGAGAGAGGGAUAGCUUCUGGAAACGGAUGGUAAUACCUCAUAACAUUACAUGACCGCAUGAUCGUGUAAUCAAGGAUUUAUCACUCAGAGAUGGGCUCGCGUCUGAUUAGCUAGUUGGUGAGGUAACGGCCCACCAAGGCGACGAUCAGUAGCCGGACUGAGAGGUUGAACGGCCACAUUGGGACUGAGACACGGCCCAGACUCCUACGGGAGGCAGCAGUGAGGGAUAUUGCACAAUGGAGGAAACUCUGAUUGCAGCGAUGCCGCGUGGAGGAAGAAGGUUUUCGGAUUGUAAACUCCUGUUUCGAGGGACAAUAAUGACGGUACCUUGGGAGGAAGCUCCGGCUAACUACGUGCCAGCAGCAGC
rnacentral:rRNA from 1 species